CCGCCUCUGCCACCGACUCCACCGCUUGGCCGUCGUCGUCUUGCAGCGUUGUCAUCUCAUCUGAAUAUGGCCAUCCCUUCGUUGAUGCAGGUUCAGGGUAAGCACCUAACCUCCCCAACCGUCCGGAAUAAGCACUAUUGUGCCAUCCAAGUCGUGGCGAUUAAACACUUGAUCAUGAUGGACUGAUCACUGAUGGUUAUGGUAGAGUUCAUAAAGCACCGAAAUGUCAAAAUUUGCUGCCUGAAUUUUUCUUUCG
rnacentral:lncRNA from 1 species